rnacentral:tRNA from 1 species
GGAGACGCACCCUAAAAGGUGCCGGGGCUUCUCCCGUUUUAAGAGAGACGGGAGAAGG